GAUGAACGCUGGCGGCGUGCCUAAUACAUGCAAGUCGAGCGAACAGACGAGGAGCUUGCUUCUCGGACGGUAGCGGCGGACGUGAGAGUAACACGUGGAUAACCUACUUAUAAGACUGGGAUAACUUCGGGAAACCGGAGCUAAUACCGGAUAAUAUAUUGAACCGCAUGGUUCAAUAGUUAAAGACGGUUUUGCUGUCACUUAUAGAUGGAUCCGCGCCGCAGUAGCUAGUUGGUAAGGUAACCGCUUACCAAGGCAACGAUGCGUAGCCGACCUGAGAGGGUGAUCGACCCAAACGGAGCUGAGACACGGUCCCGACUCCUACGGGGGGCAGCAGUAGGGAAUCUUCCGCAAUGGGCGAAAGCUUGGCGGAACAACGCCGCGUGAGUGAUAAAGGUCUUCGGAUCGUAAAACUGUGUUAUUAGGGAAGAACAAAUGUGUAAGUAACUAUGCACGUCUUGACGGUACCUGAUAAGAAAGCCACGGCUAACUACGUG
rnacentral:rRNA from 1 species